UACGAAGGGGGCUAGCGUUGUUCGGAAUCACUGGGCGUAAAGGGCGCGUAGGCGGCUUUGUAAGUCGGGGGUGAAAGCCUGUGGCUCAACCACAGAAUUGCCUUCGAUACUGCAUGGCUUGAGACCGGAAGAGGUUAGUGGAACUGCGAGUGUAGAGGUGAAAUUCGUAGAUAUUCGCAAGAACACCAGUGGCGAAGGCGGCUGACUGGUCCGGUACUGACGCUGAGGUGCGAAAGCGUGGGGAGCAAACAGG
rnacentral:rRNA from 1 species